rnacentral:rRNA from 1 species
UACGUAGGGUGCAAGCGUUGUCCGGAAUUAUUGGGCGUAAAGAGCUCGUAGGCGGUUUGUCGCGUCUGCUGUGAAAUCCCGAGGCUCAACCUCGGGUCUGCAGUGGGUACGGGCAGACUAGAGUGUGGUAGGGGAGAUUGGAAUUCCUGGUGUAGCGGUGGAAUGCGCAGAUAUCAGGAGGAACACCGAUGGCGAAGGCAGAUCUCUGGGCCAUUACUGACGCUGAGGAGCGAAAGCAUGGGGAGCGAACAGGAUUAGAUACCCUGGUAGUCCAUGCCGUAAACGUUGGGCGCUAGAUGUGGGGACCAUUCCACGGUUUCCGUGUCGUAGCUAACGCAUUAAGCGCCCUGCCUGGGGAGUACGGCCGCAAGGCUAAA